rnacentral:rRNA from 1 species
GAUGAACGCUGGCGGCGUGCCUAAUACAUGCAAGUCGAACGAACAGACGAGGAGCUUGCUCCUCUGACGUUAGCGGCGGACGGGUGUGUAACACGUGUAUCACCUCCCUAUCAGACUGGGAUAACUUCGGGAAACCGGAGCUAAUACCGUAUAACAUGCUGAACCGCAUGGUUGAACAGUGAAAGACGGUCUUGCGGUCACUUAUAGAUGGAUACGCGCGGCAUUAGCUAGUUGGGAAGGUCAUAGCCUACCAAGGCAACGAUGCGUAGCCGACCGCAGAGAGGGAUAGGCGACCUUGGAACUUGGCCAGGCUCCAGAGUCCUACGGGAGGCAGCAGUAGGGAAUCGGCCGCAAUGGGCGAAAGCCUUACGGAGCAACGCGGCGUGAGUGAAGAAGGUCCUCGGAUCGGAAAACUCGGUUACGAGGGAAGAACAAAUGUGUAAGUAACUAUGCACGUAUUGACGGUACCUAAUCAGAAAGCCACGGCUAACUACGUG